rnacentral:rRNA from 1 species
CCAUAAGCGGAGGAAAAGAAACCAACUGGGAUUACCUUAGUAACGGCGAGUGAAGCGGUAAAAGCUCAAAUUUGAAAUCUGGUACUUUCAGUGCCCGAGUUGUAAUUUGUAGAAUUUGUCUUUGAUUAGGUCCUUGUCUAUGUUCCUUGGAACAGGACGUCAUAGAGGGUGAGAAUCCCGUUUGGCGAGGAUACCUUUUCUCUGUAAGACUUUUUCGAAGAGUCGAGUUGUUUGGGAAUGCAGCUCAAAGUGGGUGGUAAAUUCCAUCUAAAGCUAAAUAUUGGCGAGAGACCGAUAGCGAACAAGUACAGUGAUGGAAAGAUGAAAAGAACUUUGAAAAGAGAGUGAAAAAGUACGUGAAAUUGUUGAAAGGGAAGGGCAUUUGAUCAGACAUGGUGUUUUUUGCAUGCACUCGCCUCUCGUGGGCUUGGGCCUCUCAAAAAUUUCACUGGGCCAACAUCAAUUCUGGCAGCAGGAUAAAUCAUUAAGAAUGUAGCUACUUCGGUAGUGUUAUAGCUUUUUGGAAUACUGUUAGCCGGGAUUGAGGACUGCGCUUCGGCAAGGAUGUUGGCAUAAUGGUUAAAUGCCGCCCGUCUUG